CUAAGGAACGUGGCGGAGAGCGCCCUGGCCAUGCCGGGGAAGAGCUUCCUCUGUGUCCUAUGAACAUUGCCGCCGUCCUCAUGUCCCUUCAUCACUAGGUUAGUUUGCGAGACGAAAUAGCGUUAGCUAUUUUGCACGCAAACAAGUUCGGCCAGCGCGGCGAAGCGCGCCACAAGGCGCAGCUUUGCUGCGACUGACGGCGCAAGCGGGUGCGGGCCGGUAGCUCAGGUGGUUAGAGCGCACGCCUGAUAAGCGUGAGGUCGUAGGUUCAACUCCUACUCGGCCCACCAUCGUGCGUAGUGGCUGGCCCACGCCGCCGGACGCGGCAAAGCCGCGUCCUCUGGCGCAGGCUCUGCCCCGCCGAUCGUGCUUGUCGCUUCGCGAAAUAGCGGAGCUAUUUCGUCGUGCGACUGCGCAUGGGGCCUUAGCUCAGCUGGGAGAGCGGUUGCUUUGCAAGCAUCAGGUCAUCGGUUCGAUCCCGAUAGGCUCCACCACGCGCACUAAAACCUAGGGAUGAAGACACGAGAUCCGCGGCGACAAGCCGCGGUACCAGGAGCGAGACGCUCCUCUUUGACAUUGUGAAUGGGUUCUUAAAAUCGAUGCCGUGAAGGUAUCGGCUUUGAGCGAGGCAGGCGGGACCGCAAGGUUCGGCCAGGCCAAGCGACAGAAAGCCGGUUCAUUUCACUUAAUAUCUGGCUGAGAUAAAAUCCCCGCACCGAAUGCCCAUGCGACGCUGCCCUUGCCGAGUCGAUGGCCUUUUGGUCAUCCAGCGUUGAUGUUGGUGGUGUGGGCU
rnacentral:tRNA from 1 species